UACGAAGGGGGCUAGCGUUGUUCGGAAUUACUGGGCGUAAAGCGCGCGUAGGCGGGCGAUUAAGUCAGGGGUGAAAUCCCGGAGCUCAACUCCGGAACUGCCUUUGAUACUGGUCGUCUAGAGAUCGGAAGAGGUGAGUGGAAUUCCCAGUGUAGAGGUGAAAUUCGUAGAUAUUGGGAAGAACACCAGUGGCGAAGGCGGCUCACUGGUCCGAUACUGACGCUGAGGUGCGAAAGCGUGGGGAGCAAACAGG
rnacentral:rRNA from 1 species